rnacentral:rRNA from 1 species
GACGAACGCUGGCGGCGUGCUUAACACAUGCAAGUCGAACGGAAAGGCCCUGCUUUUGUGGGGUGCUCGAGUGGCGAACGGGUGAGUAACACGUGAGUAACCUGCCCUUGACUUUGGGAUAACUUCAGGAAACUGGGGCUAAUACCGGAUAGGAGCUCCUGCUGCAUGGUGGGGGUUGGAAAGUUUCGGCGGUUGGGGAUGGACUCGCGGCUUAUCAGCUUGUUGGUGGGGUAGUGGCUUACCAAGGCUUUGACAGGUAGCCGGCCUGAGAGGGUGACCGGCCACAUUGGGACUGGGGUACGGCCCAGACUCCUACGGGAGGCAGCAGUGGGGAAUAUUGCACAAUGGGCGGAAGCCUGAUGCAGCAACGCCGCGUGCGGGAUGACGGCCUUCGGGUUGGAAACCGCUUUCGCCUGUGACGAAGCGUGAGUGACGGGAAUGGGUAAAGAAGCACCGGCUAACUACGUG